GUUAUAGGGUCAAGUGACUAAGAGCAUAUGGUGGAUGCCUUGGCGAUUACAGGCGAUGAAAGACGUGAUAGCCUGCGAAAAGCUUCGGGGAGCUGGCAAAUAAGCUUUGAUCCGGAGAUGUCUGAAUGGGGAAACCCACCCGCAAGGGUAUCAACAGCUCAAUACAUAGGCUGUUGAAGCGAACCUGGAGAACUGAAACAUCUAAGUACCCAGAGGAAAAGAAAUCAACCGAGAUUCCGAUAGUAGUGGCGAGCGAAUUCGGAAGAGCCUUCUAGUGAUAGUCGACGAGUUAACAAAACGGCAUGGAAAGGCCGGCCAUAGUAGGUGAUAGCCCUGUAUGUGAAAACUUGUCGGUGGUACUGAGCUAGAGAAAAGUAGGGCGGGACACGUGUAAUCCUGUCUGAAUAUGGGGGGACCAUCCUCCAAGGCUAAAUACUCGUAAUCGACCGAUAGUGAACCAGUACCGUGAGGGAAAGGCGAAAAGAACCCCGGGAGGGGAGUGAAAUAGAUCCUGAAACCGUAUGCUUACAAAAAGUCGGAGCCUCGUAAGGGGUGACGGCGUACCUUUUGUAUAAUGGGUCAGCGACUUACAUUCAGUGGCAAGCUUAACCGAGUAGGGAAGGCGUAGAGAAAUCGAGUCCGAAUAGGGCGUUUUUAGUCGCUGGGUGUAGACCCGAAACCAAGUGAUCUAACCAUGGCCAGGAUGAAGGUGCCGUAACAGGUACUGGAGGUCCGAACCGACUGAUGUUGCAAAAUCAGCGGAUGAGCUGUGGUUAGGGGUGAAAGGCUAAACAAACUUGGAAAUAGCUGGUUCUCUCCGAAAACUAUUUAGGUAGUGCCUCAAGUAUUACCUGCGGGGGUAGAGCACUGUUUUGGCUAGGGGGUCAUGGCGACUUACCAAACCAAGGCAAACUCCGAAUACCGCAGAGUACAGCUUGGGAGACAGAGCACCGGGUGCUAACGUCCGGACUCAAGAGGGAAACAACCCAGACCGCCAGCUAAGGUCCCUAAAAUUGGCUAAGUGGGAAACGAAGUGGGAAGGCUAAAACAGUCAGGAUGUUGGCUUAGAAGCAGCCAUCAUUUAAAGAAAGCGUAAUAGCUCACUGAUCGAGUCGUCCUGCGCGGAAGAUGUAACGGGGCUAAGCCAGUUACCGAAGCUGCGGAUGUGCAAUUUAUUGCACGUGGUAGGAGAGCGUUCUGUAAGCCUGUGAAGGUGUCUGGUAACGGAUGCUGGAGGUAUCAGAAGUGCGAAUGCUGACAUGAGUAGCGUUAAAAGGGGUGAAAAGCCCCUUCGCCGUAAGCGCAAGGUUUCCUACGCAACGUUCAUCGGCGUAGGGUGAGUCGGCCCCUAAGGCGAGGCAGAGAUGCGUAGCUGAUGGGAAACAGGUCAAUAUUCCUGUACCGAUCAAUAGUGCGAUGUGGGGACGGAGAAGGUUAGCUCAGCCACCUGUUGGAAUAGGUGGUUCAAGCGUGUAGUCGUGCCUGGUAGGCAAAUCCGCCGGGCUUAGAUGAGGCGUGAUAACGAGUGUGCUUGCACACGAAGUGAGUGAUAC
rnacentral:rRNA from 1 species